UUGCUUGCUUUGACAGCACAUAUACUAAAAUCAGAAUAAUACAGAGAAGAUUUGCAUGGUCCCUGCACAAGGACAGCGUGCAAAUUUGUGAAGCAUUUCAUAUUUUA
ensembl:snRNA U6 U6 spliceosomal RNA